rnacentral:lncRNA from 1 species
ACUAUUAAUCAGUUCAACUUAUCUCUUUUCUGUCUGACUGAGCACAACUCUUUCGUCUUCUUCACGUAACGUCGCUUUUUAACUUCAAUACUCUUUCGUAUAUAACUUGUAACAAUCUUUCCUUAACAAUCUUCUUUAUAAUAGCUUUUCCAAAAUGAUAUUCACGUAAGGCGCUGAGGCCUACGAAUAAUGUAACUGAGGCGCUGAGGCCUAUUGAAUGAAACAUGUAAGGCGCGGAGGCCUAUCUAUGAAUCAUGUAAGGCACGGAGGCCUGAUGAAUAAUGUAACUGAGGCGCUGAGGCCUAUUGAAUGAAUCAUGUAAGGCGCGGAGGCCUAUCUAUGAAUCAUGUAAGGCACGGAGGCCUAUUGAAUGAAUCACGUAAGGCGCGGAGGCCUAUGAAUGAAACAUGUAAGGCACGGAGGCCUAUCUAUAUGAAACAUGUAAGGCACGGAGGCCUAUGAAUGAAACAUGUAAGGCACGGAGGCCUAUCUAUGAAACAUGUAAGGCGCGGAGGCCUA